rnacentral:misc_RNA from 1 species
GAAAUGCGAUACGUAAUGUGAAUUGCAGAAUACCGCGAAUCAUCGAAUCCUUGAACGCACAUGGCGCUGACGAGCCCGCUCGUCAGCACGCCUGUUUGAGUGUCGUUUCCCAUCUCUCCCCUCCAACGCGCCUGCGUGCGCGUCUUGCAGGGAAGGAAGCUGGGUGUUGGAUUUGCAACAAAGCGAUCCAUCACUUGAAGGAGGGUGUCCCGCCUUCCCCAGUGCCGGGCCACGGUGUGCUGAAACAUGUCGCCGUGCCGUGCACGAAAUAAGGGACUGCCGGGCAAGAAUCAUGGUGGAGUUAAGUGGAGCUCUGCUUGUCACCAUGCGACCUCAAAUCAGGCGAGACCACCCGCUGAACUUAA